CUACGGGAGGCACCAGGCGAGAAAACUUUGCAAUGUGCGAAAGCACGACAAGGUUAAUCCGAGUGGUUUGUGCUAAACGAACCUUUUGACAGUCCUAGAAACACUGUUGAAUAAGGGGUGGGCAAGUUCUGGUGUCAGCCGCCGCGGUAAAACCAGCACCCAAGUGGUCAGGAUGAUUAUUGGGCCUAAAGCAUCCGUAGCCGGCUCUGUAAGUUUUCGGUUAAAUCUGUACGCUCAACGUACAGGCUGCCGGGAAUACUGCAGAGCUAGGGAGUGGGAGGGGUAGACGGUACUCGGUAGGAAGGGGUAAAAUCCUUUGAUCUAUUGAGGACCACCUGUGGCGAAGGCGGUCUACCAGAACACGUCCGACGGUGAGGGAUGAAAGCUGGGGGAGCAAACCGGAUUAGAUACCCUGGUAGUC
rnacentral:rRNA from 1 species